rnacentral:rRNA from 1 species
AGAGUUUGAUCCUGGCUCAGGACUAACGUUGGCGGCGUGCGUAAUACAUGCAAGUCGCGCGGGGCAGGGGCAACUCUGCCUAGCGGCGAACGGGUGAGUAACACGUGGAUGAUCUACCCCCCGGAUCGGAACAACCAGCCGAAAGGUUGGCUAAUACCGGGUAUGACCACGGCCAGUAUCAUCUGGCUGCGGUAAGAGCAGGGGACCGCAAGGCCUUGCGCCAGGGGAUGAGUCCGCGGCUGAUUAGCUAGUUGGCGGGGUAACGGCCCACCAAGGCGACGAUCAGUAGCCGGCCUGAGAGGGUGACCGGCCACACUGAGACUGAGACACGGCCCAGACUCCUACGGGAGGCAGCAGUAGGGAAUUUUCCACAAUGGGCGAAAGCCUGAUGGAGCAACGCCGCUUGAGGGAUGAAGGAUCUCG